GACGAACGCUGGCGGCGUGCUUAACACAUGCAAGUCGAACGGAAAGGCCCUGCUUUUGUGGGGUGCUCGAGUGGCGAACGGGUGAGUAACACGUGAGUAACCUGCCCUUGACUUUGGGAUAACUUCAGGAAACUGGGGCUAAUACCGGAUAGGAGCUCCUGCUGCAUGGUGGGGGUUGGAAAGUUUCGGCGGUUGGGGAUGGACUCGCGGCUUAUCAGCUUGUUGGUGGGGUAGUGGCGUACCAAGGCUUUGACGGGUAGGCGGCCUGAGAGGGUGAACGGCCACAUUGCGACUGAGAUACGGACCAGACUCCUACGGGAGGCAGCAGUGGGGAAUAUUGCACAAUGGGCGGACGCCUGAUGCAGCAACGCCGCGUGCGGGAUGACGGCCUUCGGGUUGUAAACAGCUUUCGCCUGUGACGAAGCGUGAGUGACGGUAAUGGGUAAAGAAGCACCGGCUAACUACGUG
rnacentral:rRNA from 1 species